rnacentral:rRNA from 1 species
AGAUUGAACGCUGGCGGCAUGCCUUACACAUGCAAGUCGAACGGCAGCGCGGGGGCAACCCUGGCGGCGAGUGGCGAACGGGUGAGUAAUAUAUCGGAACGUGCCCUGGAGUGGGGGAUAACGUAGCGAAAGUUACGCUAAUACCGCAUACGAUCUAAGGAUGAAAGUGGGGGAUCGCAAGACCUCAUGCUCCUGGAGCGGCCGAUAUCUGAUUAGCUAGUUGGUAGGGUAAAAGCCUACCAAGGCAUCGAUCAGUAGCUGGUCUGAGAGGACGACCAGCCACACUGGGACUGAGACACGGCCCAGACUCCUACGGGAGCAGCAGUGGGGAAUUUGGACAAGUGGGGGCAACCCUGAUCCAGCAAUGCCGCGUG